CUUGAGGUCAAAGCAAAACAGAGCACAGCAGUUUCCCUGCAACGCUAAGUGCUUCAGAGCCAUGACCUUUGGUGCGACCUGAGGGAAGAAUGUUAAGGAGGAUCUUUCCUGCAUGCCAUCUUAAAAAACCAAGGAAUCAGAAUGAUGAGAUGCUGAGAGACUGAAUGGAGAUCUUACAUCAGAUGUGAAGCGAGGAUGAAAAUCCUUGGAAAAGGGGACAACAGCUGCAUGUCGAGCUGGAGAUUAAUCCGGGGAGUCGGAAUACAUGGUCCAAGCACAGCAACAUGGUUCCUAAAUGCCCGGCUUAAGGGUCAAUCAUGGGGUGCUGCAGAAUCGAUGAGGGAACACAAACUCUCAUGUGCUACCAUUACAGAGCAAUCUACCCAACGAUGAUGUCGUAUACAGAGAAAUCCAUGACUUCUCAAGGAAACAGGACGUAGCGCCGAAGACAGGGGGCGUGGCCAGGUCCGGGAGGUGGAGCCGGAGGGAGCAACCGGCGAAUGGCAAUGAUGGCGAGAAGUCUGGAGAA